rnacentral:rRNA from 1 species
AGCCUGAACGCUGGCGGCGUGGCUAAGACAUGCAAGUCGCACGGGCCUAGCAAUAGGUCAGUGGCGAACAGGUGAGUAAUGUAUCGCUAACGUACCCCGGACUCUGGGAUAGCUGCCCGAAAGGGCAGGUAAUACCGGAUGAGACCCCGGCCCCGCAUGGGGUUGUGCUCAAAGGUCCGCC